rnacentral:rRNA from 1 species
CAGCCGCCGCGGUAAUACGUAGGUGGCAAGCGUUGUCCGGAAUUAUUGGGCGUAAAGCGCGCGCAGGCGGUUUAAUAAGUCUGAUGUGAAAGCCCACGGCUCAACCGUGGAGGGUCAUUGGAAACUGUUAGACUUGAGUGCAGGAGAGAAAAGUGGAAUUCCUAGUGUAGCGGUGAAAUGUGUAGAGAUUAGGAGGAACACCAGUGGCGAAGGCGGCUUUUUGGCCUGUAACUGACACUGAGGCGCGAAAGCGUGGGGAGCAAACAGGAUUAGAUACCCGUGUAGUCCCUGUCUCUUAUAC